rnacentral:rRNA from 1 species
GACGAACGCUGGCGGCGCGCCUAACACAUGCGAGUCGAACGGAGUCAAGAGGAGCUUGCUUUUCUUGACUUAGUGGCGAACGGGUGAGUAACGCGUGAGUAACCUGCCCUGGAGUGGGGGACAACAGUUGGAAACGACUGCUAAUACCGCAUAAGCCCACGGAUCUGCAUGGAUCUGCGGGAAAAGGAUUUAUUCGCUCUAGGAUGGACUCGCGUCCAAUUAGCUAGUUGGUGAGGUAACGGCCCACCAAGGCGACGAUUGGUAGCCGGACUGAGAGGUUGAACGGCCACAUUGGGACUGAGACACGGCCCAGACUCCUACGGGAGGCAGCAGUGGGGGAUAUUGCACAAUGGGGGAAACCCUGAUGCAGCGACGCCGCGUGGAGGAAGAAGGUUUUCGGAUUGUAAACUCCUGUCGUUAGGGACGAUAAUGACGGUACCUAACAAGAAAGCACCGGCUAACUACGUG